UACAGAGGUCCCAAGCGUUGUUCGGAUUCACUGGGCGUAAAGGGUGCGUAGGCGGUCGGGUAAGUCUGAUGUGAAAUCUCCAAGCUUAACUUGGAAAUGGCAUCGGAUACUAUUCGGCUCGAGAAUGGAGGGGAGACUGGAAUACUUGGUGUAGCAGUGAAAUGCGUAGAUAUCAAGUGGAACACCAGUGGCGAAGGCGAGUCUCUGGACAUUUCCUGACGCUGAGGCACGAAAGCCAGGGGAGCAAACGGG
rnacentral:rRNA from 1 species